rnacentral:rRNA from 1 species
AACGAACGCUGGCGGCAGGCCUAACACAUGCAAGUCGAACGAACUCUUCGGAGUGAGUGGCGGACGGGUGAGUAACGCGUGAGAAUCUGCCUGUGGGUCGGGGACAACCACUGGAAACGGUGGCUAAUACCGGAUGAGCCGAAAGGUAAAGAUUUAUUGCCCACAGAUGAGCUCGCGUCUGAUUAGCUAGUUGGUAAGGUAAAGCGUACCAAGGCGACGAUCAGUAGCUGGUCUGAGAGGAUGAGCAGCCACACUGGGACUGAGACACGGCCCAGACUCCUACGGGAGGCAGCAGUGGGAAUCUUAGACAAUGGGGGCAACCCUGAUCUAGCCAUGCCGCGUGAGUGACGAAGGCCCUAGGGUCGUAAAGCUCUUUCGCCAGGGAUGAU